CCGCCAGAGACAGGCCAUCCUGAGAAGACAGCUUGGGACAAAGGAGCAGUGCAGACAGACAAUCUCUCCAUGCUCUGCAAGCUCAUCAGAUAUCUUCAUUACUGCUUUCAUUAAACUUCUAGCCUCCUUUGCAACUGCUGAAUCAACCAGGAAGUAACACAGCACAUUAACAGGAGCCCAUGCUGUUUUAAUGAACUCCCCUUGAAGUCACAGAAGAGGCUGGGUCAAUGAGCCCUUCGCCGUGACCCUUAACUCUUGAAAAGCGAGCAUCUUCUUAUGAGAGCCGGCUUUGAGCCACAGCGCAUGGACUGCUGACACGCUCCUUUUUCACCUCUGCAAAAAGCAAAGCCUGCCUUGGAACAUAGUGGAAAUAACCCACCACAGAAGAAAGAGUCUGUGAGCCCAAAAACUUGCUGUGGAGCUUGGCUUCUUGCUACAGCCUUCUGCCGGGAAGGAAGAAACCUUGUCUCUUUCCACCACCUCACAUCCUCUUUCUACCCAGAGGUCACCCGCCCAGAUGAGACAGAGGAAGGGAGCUGAUGAGACAGGCCCUGUGCUCCCUGAUCUGGGCCUGCACUGUCUGACAGGCAUAUAACGUGAGCCACUUUGAUCAAUUUAAAUUGUCUAAUAGAUACAUCAAAAAAAAAAAUUAAAAAAGGUAAAAAGAAACAGAGGACAUUAAUUUUAAUAAUAUGUUCUAUCCCAACAUACCCACAUAUUAUUUCAACAUGAAAUCAGUAGCAACUUUAUUGAUAUUUUACCUUUUUUUUAAAACUGGGUCUUCAAAAUGUGCUGUUUAUUUUAUACUGGGAGCCUAUCUCGACUCUGCAUUGGAGAGAGAUGUUCCGUUAACUACAUUUCACAAAAUCCACAGCCGAAAAGAGAGAUUUAUAAGCUGUUCCAAGUAUACUAGAAAUUCUUUUCCAAUAACUAACCAAGUAUCAGGGUUCAAAAGUUAAUUGAAAUUAAAUAAAAGUAUGCCUUCCACUCUUAGCUGCCCUACCCCGCAUUUCAAGGGCUCGAGAGCCCCUGUGGCGGGGAGCCACCAUACUGACAGCACCAAACUCCGACCUUGCUAAAACGCAGUCCACAAAAUGACAGCGUCAGCAUCAGCACCACCAGAGAUUUUAUUAGAAAUGCAGAAUCUCCGACCUAGCAAUUCAGAAUCUGCAUUUUAACAAGAUCCCCAGGUAAUCCGUAUGUGCAAUAGAAAUUGGAAAGCAUGGAUCUAUUUAACACGACCAAGAAAUUUGGUACUUAUUGCAUCCAUUUUACAGAUGCACAUAUAUAUACCGCAGCUCAGAGAGGUUACAGAAUAUGCCUAAAGUCACAGGACUAAGAAGUGCAGGGGCUGAAAUUCAAACUCAAACCUUGCUCAUGUUUAAGCCCACGGUCUUUCUAAUAUUUAUCACCCCGAGCAUAGGUUACUAACUUGCAGUGGUGUAGAAGUUAAUUUUAAAUGGUGCCCAGAAGGGCGCCUGGGUGACUCAGUGGGUUAAAGCCUCUGCCUUCAGCUCAGGUCAUGAUCCCAGCAUCUUGGGAUUGAGCCCCGCAUCGGAGCCUGCUUCCUCCUCUCUCUGCCUGCCUCUCUGCCUACUUGUGAUCUCUGUCUGUUAAAUAAAUAAAUAAAAUCCUGAAAAAAAUACUAAAUGGUGCCCAGAGAGUGUCUAAUAAAUUAAUAAAUAAAUAAAUAAAUACAAAGAUUAAAGAUUUGUCCCUUUUCUACUGCCUUUUAAUUUUUCUAAGAUCAAGGAUGAAGUCUCUGAUUGGUGCCUUCAUUUGCUCAGUACCAACCCCCGAUGAAGCCAGCCACAAGCUCAGAACCUCCAGCACAGUCUCUGGCUAGAUCCAAAUGGCUUUGUUUCCCUUCAUUGUAUUUAUUCUUACUUUCACCUGUUAUUUAUGGCAGAUGAUGCUGACUCUCCAUUCACAAGAGUCCUACAAAAAGUAGAUGUAUUUUAGUAGAAGAAAGUGGACAUAAAUGCAGGUGGCAUGCAGGUAGGUAUGGACCCGUAGGGGAAGAGGCAGAGGAAGGACUGAGGUGUGGGAACGGCUCUGGCUGAAGGUACCUCCCCAGGAGGCGGGGGGUCCCAGCAGCUCAAGCCCUAAAGACGACGAGGGAUCACCAAGAAUUUUGUGCCCUUCUGCAUAAAGCACUUUAACAGUUGUUAUUCCUCUUUAUUUCCAUGUGUCGUCGACGUGAACUGUAUUUAUUGGAUUGGUUGUCCAGCAUUUCCUACUUCCCAGCACAGAAAACAAAGUGUCUUCUUGUGAGCUCCUCAACUUGACGUCAAGGCUGCGGGCGUAAGGGCAGCCACUGGGUGCUUCAGCUCCUGGAUGAAUGUAGGCAGGUGCCACGAGGAAGCUGGGGCAGCUUCGGGCUCAUCGUGGCCGUGGUCCUGUAGGGGCAGCUGGGAGGCCCUGACCCACCUUGGACCUGGAUCAGGAGCUGAGGCUCCCUUGGUAACUCUCUUUCUACGAGCAGUGGCUCUCCGGGUCUCCUGGAGUGAUCCGUGGGAGAUGCGGCAUCAUUCCAAGAUUGCCUCUUCCCUUUAUGAUAACAAGAGUUGGUUUUUGUCUUUUGCAAAUAAAAUCCCUGGUUGUUACAAUGGGAUGAUUUGAUUAUCCAUGGAACCCACCAAACUACCAAGUCCCGUGAGAGGAGAGUCUGUGUCCUCUUGUACAAGUGGCCCAAUCCCUGGGGCCAUUGUUUCCAGCAAGGCCGGAGCUCAAAACUUAUUGAUGAAUGAAUGAGUGUUGAGCAGGUAGGAGAUGCCAAUAAACAAUGUCAAAAGGUCAUACUGCGCUUUCUCAAAACAAGCUAAAGGUAUUCUAGCUUUCAUUCUUAUUUAAGACAAUCUAGCUAUGAAAAAUUCAGUUUUCGGAGACGAAUAAUAAUAACCCUUUACUUCCUCAGCUGAUUCACCCAGGGUUCCUUCUCUUACUUUCCUAGUGUGAAGUUUUGCUUUCUAGCCAUAAACUAGUAGAGGGACUUCAACACAAGAGAGCGUGAAGGGAAAAGUUUGUGCGUCGUGAAUGUGUAAUGAUUUCAAAAUUAAAGGAAAUAAAUCAUCAAAAAAUAACACAUUCAGAGCCACCGGCAAGAAGACACGGUUCAGCUACGACACAUCCGAAAUGGAAACGUCACUCAGAAUUUUCAGGAAUUGGUAUGUGGUUUGCUAAAUCACAAAAGCACGCUAAGCCGUUUACCAACAUGGUUAUGCUUCACAACAACCGGAGUUACGGACUUCUGUGGCCCUUUGCCAGAUGAGGAAACUGAGACACAGCAGAGAAACUAAGCACUUCACCUAAUUUGCCUUAAGUCAAAGACCUCAGAACCACAGUUAAAGAGCCAGGAUUGAAACGUCAGCCUGACUCCAAAGCUUAAGAUUUUAAGCACAGGCUAACCCCAUUGCCUAUAGAUUUGUGACGUGUAUUUGUAAUAAAGACUUUGACUUCA